rnacentral:lncRNA from 1 species
CCUUAAAAACAAAACAAAAAACUACCAAACCAAGGUUUAAACUUAAAUAGUUCUACACCUAUUCUGCAAAUACUACUAAUAUGGAAAUAAUGCUUGACCGAAAUUCCCUUGUCUUUUUUUUUUUUUUCUUAGAUGAUAAAAGUAGUAACAUGCCUUGCUGAGGAAAGCAAUGGAUAUAAAUGCCUGUAAAAUAUGCUGCUCUAACAUCUGAAAGUGAUUAAAACGAUUCUAUAUAAUGCCUUCGUCAAGAUGGAGAACAGUGGAGGAAGAAAGAGGGGCCCAUGGGGCCAGGCUUGGGGGGGGGGGGGGCUGAGGGCACGAGUCACGGGUCCCGUGCUGUUUUUUCCAGCAACAUACACUGCCUGGGUGGGGAACAGGGGCGGAGGGAGGGCUUUUCCUCCUCAAUCCAGGAUCUGGCAGCUAAAUCAGUGGCUGUGAGCCUGAUUUGUCCACAAUCAAAGGCACGUGUGGAAAUCUACUCCCAGCAAAGAGUGAGUCCUCAGGGAAGCCAGUGUGGCCUCUGAAAU